rnacentral:rRNA from 1 species
UACGUAGGGUGCGAGCGUUAAUCGGAAUUACUGGGCGUAAAGCGUGCGCAGGCGGUUUUGUAAGCCAGAUGUGAAAUCCCCGGGCUUAACCUGGGAAUGGCAUUUGGGACUGCAAGGCUGGAGUGUGGCAGAGGAGACUGGAAUUCCUGGUGUAGCAGUAAAAUGCGUAGAUAUCAGGAGGAAUACCGAUGGCGAAGGCAGGUCUCUGGGCUGACACUGACGCUCAUGCACGAAAGCGUGGGGAGCAAACAGG